GCCGGUUCCCCCCAGCCCCGGUGUCCCGGCGGUGCCGGCUCCCGCCGCCGCUAAGUCAGUAAUGGACGCAGAGGUGCGGAGGGAGGUGGGCACGGCGGGCACCGGACACCGAGCGAGGCGGAGGUAACGGCGGCUCCCCCAUCUCCUCGCCGGCGGCAGCCCCGGGACGCGGCCGGUGGCACCGGAGGGAUGCGCGGCAGACCGGAGCUCCCGCCUGGCCCCGAUCCAUCCCCAGGAGCCUCGGGGAGAUCCCGAACCCCUUGGCUCCGCUUGCCAAGGCCGCAUGGGGCCGCUGUCCGGGCUCUUGGCUGACCACAGCCCCUGGCCAGGCCAUCGGGCCCCCCUCGGGCCACCAGCAGUGACCAGGAUGUGUGUGUGGCACUGCCACCACCUGUCCCCAGUGUCCCCAGGAGAGCCCGCCCGAGGAGGCGCCAGGGAGGGGGCCGCGAAGGGACGGAGGCGGGAGCGCCCCGAGCCGGGACGGGCAGCGCGGUCACCGCGGCUGGGAUGGAGAUGGCGCCGCCGCAGGAGCGGUUUGGGGACAUUUGGGGACAUUCGGGACACUCGGGGGCCGCGCACGGGCCGUGUCCCGCGGCGGGCGCUGCCUUUGCUGAUGCUAAUGGGGAGCGCUGUAAAAUCAGCGCUCAAAGGCGCCUUUGUGUCCCCGGGGGGUGCGAGCAUCCAUCUUCCACCUUCCCCUCGGGCUCUGCGGCCGAAAGCGGCGCCCUGGGGGCUCCUGCGGAGGGGCCCAGUGCCAAAUCUGGGGGGAUUUGGGGGUUUUGGGGGGCUUGGAGCAUGGAGGCAGCGAGGGUGAUGGAGCAGGAGGUUUCCCUGGGCUCUGGCUCAUUUUGCGGGGAUUUGGGGGAUUUUUGGCUCCGCAUUCCAUCAGUGGAGGGGCUCGGGUGGGGAGCUGCCCUGGGGAGGGGUUUUGGGGCGCCCCGAGCCCCCGGGGAUGCUCCGGGCGCGGGCGGAAGCGACAUCUAGCGGGAAGCGCAUCCCGUCGCCAGGGAGAUCGAUAUCCAUGGCAACCCCCGGGAACGGCCCGGGCUGGACCAGGGGCACCGCCGGGCGCGGGGCACCGGGAUGGGCCGGGAGGAGGGAACAGCCCGCCGGGUGCGGGUCCUGGCACGGGAAUGGGGGUCAUGAAACCGAGAUUGGGGUCCUGGCCCUGAGAUUUGGGUCCUGGCACUGGGAUGUGGGUGAUGGCACUGAGAUUUCUUUUUAUUCCUCAUGAUGCUGUUCCUCUUUGGUUGCUAAUAAAUUAAAUUAAUUUUCC